rnacentral:rRNA from 1 species
UACAGAGGUCUCAAGCGUUGUUCGGAAUUACUGGGCGUAAAGCGCACGCAGGCGGAUUGAUAAGUCGGGGGUGAAAUCCCGGGGCUCAACCUCGGAAUUGCCUUCGAUACUGUUAGUCUUGAGUCCGGGAGAGGUGAGUGGAAUUCCUAGUGUAGAGGUGAAAUUCGUAGAUAUUAGGAAGAACACCAGUGGCGAAGGCGGCUCACUGGCCCGGUACUGACGCUCAUUGUGCGAAAGCGUGGGGAGCAACAGG